rnacentral:tRNA from 1 species
GGGGUUAUAGUUAAAUUAUAACUUUUAAUUUGCAAUUAAAAAUUAUUCAAUAAAGAAUUAUCCUCA